AACGAACGCUGGCGGCAGGCUUAACACAUGCAAGUCGAACGAGAUCUUCGGAUCUAGUGGCAGACGGGUGAGGAACACGUGGGAACAUCCCUUUCAGUUCGGAAUAACGUUGGGAAACUAACGCUAAUACCGGAUACGUCCUUCGGGAGAAAGAUUUAUCGCUGAAAGAUUGGCCCGCGUCUGAUUGGCUAGUUGGUGAGGUAAUGGCUCACCAAGGAUACGAUCAGUAGCUGAUCUGAGAGGAUGAUCAGCCACAUUGGGACUGAGACACGGCCCAAACUCGUACGGGAGGUAGCAGUGGGGAAUAUUGGACAAUGGGCGCAAGCCUGAUCCAGCCAUGCCGCGUGAGUGAUGAAGGCCUUCGGGUUGUAAAGCUCUUUUAUCCGGGAAGAUAAUGACUGUACCGGAAGAAUAAGCCCCGGCAAACUUCGUGCCAGCCGCCGCGGUAA
rnacentral:rRNA from 1 species